rnacentral:rRNA from 1 species
AUUGAACGCUGGCGGCAGGCCUAACACAUGCAAGUCGAGCGGAUGAGAGGAGCUUGCUCCUUGAUUCAGCGGCGGACGGGUGAGUAAUGCCUAGGAAUCUGCCUGGUAGUGGGGGACAACGUUUCGAAAGGAACGCUAAUACCGCAUACGUCCUACGAGAGAAAGCAGGGGACCUUCGGGCCUUGCGCUAUCAGAUGAGCCUAGGUCGGAUUAGCUAGUAGGUGGGGUAAUGGCCAACCUAGGCGACGAUCCGUAACUGGUCUGAGAGGAUGAUCAGUCACACUGGAACUGAGAAACGGUCCAGACUCCUACGGGAGGCAGCAGUGGGGAAUAUUGGACAAUGGGCGAAAGCCUGAUCCAGCCAUGCCGCGUGUGUGAAGAAGGUCUUCGGAUUGUAAAGCACUUUAAGUUGGGAGGAAGGGCAGUAAGUUAAUACCUUGCUGUUUUGACGUUACCGACAGAAUAAGCACCGGCUAACUUCGUGCCAGCAGCCGCGGUAA